UUUUUUUUUUUUUUUUUUUUGUCUUUUUGCCUUUUCUAGGGCCGCUCCCGUGGCAUAUGGAGGUUCCCAGGCUAGGGGUCAAAUUGGAGCUGUGGCCACUGGCCUACACCACAGCCACAGCAACGCAGGAUCCGAGCCACAUCUGUGACCUACACUACAGCUCAUGGCAACGCCGGAUCCUUAACCCACUGAGCAAGGCCUCAUGGUUCCUAGUCAGAUUCCUUAACCACUGCGCCACAACGGGAACUCCUAAGAUUAUUUUUAAACUACAACUAUUUUUUGUUGGCAUAGACAAAGUCCCUUCUCCCUUUCACCACUUGCACUAGCUUUUUAAAAAUGAUUUAUCAUUUACAGAAAGAGAACAUGGAUGUCUGGAUUCAGAAGGCGAUGUAUUAUUUUCUGUUUCUUGUUUUAAACUGGCUGAUAUCAUCUGUUAAUUUUUGAAUACACUUAUUAGAAACAAUGUUUGAAGAAAAAUCUAAAUACUCCUGGGAUUCGUUAGCCUCUUCAGCUCCACAAAGCCCAGAAGACAGUCCAGCCUACUAACCUGUUGUUUACUCCCCGAUAGAACAUCUACCUUGAUAUCUGUCACCUUUUCUCCCUUUCUGCCAAUUUCUGGUGUGCGCGCUAAGUCCUAAACCCCCUGCUUCCUGCUUCCGUUUUACUGCACUCUGUUCUCUAGCCUCAAAAUAGAAGUUAACGCUGAUGCCCAGGAAGGAACCCCAAAGCCUCCUCACUAGCCCAGGUGGGAGUUCCCCAAGCCUGAGACCCUUCCAGCUCCACCCUGGCCUGCGUUCAUAAUCCCUUCCUGUCUCUGACCCCAGCCCUCACCCCCCUGGUUCGUUCUGCCGAGGGGGGCGGGAGGGCGUGGGAGAAGCUGUCUGUGCCUUUCCAGGUGGCUGGCUGGUUUUCCACCCUGUUUUCUUUCCUAUUUGUAGGGGGUUUUAAUAUUUUCUAAGUACUGACAGUUUGUAAUUAAUCUGCAAGGUCUACGUGUCCACUGUUGGGUGAUGGAGGUGGAGAUGAUAACAGCGGCAGCUCGGCUUCAUUGACAGCUCCCACCUCCAAGCACCGUGAUGGGCGCCUGACAUGUUAAUCUGCCGUCACCAGACAGGGGGGAUAUUACCCCCAGUUUAUAGAAAAAGGAACCCAGACCCAAGUUACUGUUCAUGACUUAUAAUUUCAUCAUAUUCAGUCACUUCUUCACUCAUUCUGAGAUGAUUCUGUCUUCACAUGGAAGAGUAGGCAGUUUUUCAAGACGUCAUUUUUAAGAGAUAAAAAUCCGUAUUAUACAUUCAGUCAAAAACUAAAGUAGAAAGUUUCUGUAGUUUUUAAGAAUUGGUAGAGAAUACAGACCGACCAGUAAUUUUCUAUAGUCACAUUCCUGCUUAUUUUUCUAAAGUUUUUACUGCUGAUUGGUUUUCCUUUCCACACCAGUGAUUAUUCAUUGAGCACAUUCUAAGUCUGAGGCAUCAGGUCAACACCAAGAUUUUCUUAGAAGCAUAGGUGUUAAAAAUAACUAGCUGUCUUCCAAUUUUAAAAAGUGUUAACUGAAUUAUUACGGUUUAUACAUUACUCUCAGGACAUGAGAUACAAGUAUCGUAUGGUUUUCACUUUUUUCGAGGACAGCCCUCAGCCAGCCUCUGAAUCCUGGCAUCCCAGUGGUAAAAUAUUUAAUGGAACCAAGCACUGUUUUGAUUUGCUAGAGUAUUUGUCACGUCUCUGUCCUGUGAAUACACUGUGUAGAAAACAUAAUUUGCAUUCAGGCAGUAGAUGACUUACUGAAGGAGUCUUUGGAAAUUCCAUUUUUCUCUCCACAUUGAAGGAAAUUGAGAAAGGAAAAUGGGAAGCUGCAAAACUUGAAGCUGACCCAUUGAGCCAGAUGGAUGAAGCAAAAUGACUUUUUCGGUUGGACUGAGCUUUUGUAUGAAGCAGUAGGCCCUCAGGGGAAAGACAUCAGCUUGAGUAAUUAACUCAUGAUUAUGCAAAGAUAAUUUACCUAGCCUCUUUGUUUUUCCUCCUUUUUUUUUUUUAUUGCCUUGGGCUACCUCCUUUCUUAUUACCAUCCUCACUGUUGUGGGCUGGGGUUAAGAGAGUGGCAGAGAUAAUAAUGGGAGCCCAACCCAUUUUUUCCAUCUUACUUUCAUUUACAAUUUUGUUAAAGAAAAAAUAAAUUAAGCCAAUUUAUUGGAUCAAUAGUUGUUUUCUCUUAACAUUAGAUACACAAGAAUUUUUCAGAGGCUUCCUAAGUAUAGUUAUUUCAGAAGCCAUCUAGAUUGAGUAAAUCAAGUAUAAUUGUAAGCAAUCAUAAUAAUUUGUUUUUUAUAGUGUUUUAUAGCAUUUAAAAUCCUUUCUCAUAUAUUCACACAUGAUCCUUAUAAUAGUGCCUGCUGUGUCAUAAGAAUUUAUUAAAUAUGCAUCAAUUACUGGAUGAAUAAUAUAUAACAGUUAUGUGGGAUAAGUAGGGUUGGUAUUUAUCAAUACUUUUAAAAUUAGGAAAACAUUUGAUUUCAAUUUUUAGCUUAAAAAUCAUACAGCUAUUUAAGUUCCUUUUUCUGCCACAAGACUCUUGAAAAUGUGUGUGCUAAUAAAUGUAUUUUCAGAGCAUUUUAAUUUUACCAUAGCAAGGAUUUAUUUUUUUUAAAUGAGGCCAAAAAGCUAAUAUCUUUUCAGUGCAUUAAAGCAGUUCCUGACUCAGGCAUUCAUUAGUGUUGAGCAGAGCCCUCCGACUUGAAUGCUAGAAAGUAAUGGUUUGGUUGCUGUACAGCAGAAAUUGACGGGACACUAUAAAUCAACUAUAAUUUUUAAAAAAAUUUAAAAAGAAAGUAAUGCUUUGGGGAGCCCAGAAAUUACUGUAAGAAGGUGGUAUUAUUAUUUUAUCCCUCACUCUGUAUUUUCCUUUCUCUUAAAUAUUCUAAUUUACCUUUCAUCUAGGUUAUUGACAAGAAGGUGCUUAUUGUAACUGUAUACUUUAUUUUUUUUUUUUUUACUUAAAAGAAGAAUGUCAGUAGAAUUUUAGUUCAUCCUACAAAUGUUUAUCGAUCAUUUACUGUCUGCUGAGCAGUACUUAAGGUUCUAGGAAUCAGCAGCGAAAAAACAGGCAAAAUCCUUUUAUCUUGGAGAGAGGACAUUGUCAUUGGAGUGAUAAUGAACAGCAUUACAACAAAUUAGUUUUAGAUUAGAAAGUGGUGUGUGUUACAGAUUGGGAGAUCAGGGUGGGGAGAAUGGGUGUGUUGUGGCAUUUACCAUUUCUUGUACAUAGAUAGAUAGAUAGAUAGAUAGAUAAUGUAUCUCUCAUCAUCUCACUCACUGACAUCUGAGUAGAGAUGUGGCAAGAGAGGGAGUAUGUCAUGUGGCAUUCUGUCCCAGCAACACUGUUCCGGGCAGAAGGGCCAGUGUGGCUGGAACAGAGUGAACAAAGGGAGGAGUUAGAGGAGGUCAGAGAGGUAAGGGGGCCAGAUCAUGGGAAGGCUUUGAAGGCCAUUGGGAGGACCCUGGGCUAAAGGCCAAGGAAGCUGAGCUGUUGUAGGGUUUGAGUGACGGAGUGCCAUCACUAUAGUAGCUCUUCUGGAAACAGACCGCAAAGGUAAAAGAGUGAAAACUAGAGCAAAGGCCAUUACAAAAAUGUCGGCAAGAGAUGAGAGUGACUUGGGCCAGGGCCUAACAGUGGAGGUGAUGGAAAGUGAGCAGAUUCUGGACUUACAUUAUUUUGAAGAUAAGGCGAACAGGUUUUGCUAAUGGGUUGGAUGAAAAGAAAGGCCUUCAAAUUGCAAUGUUAAGGAAGAAAUUGGGCUGUAGAAGCUACAAAAUCAACAGGGUCGAGGGGAGGAAAUAGUGAUCAGUUUGGCUGUGUUGUGAAGUGAUCCAACGUCUAAGUACAGCUGUCAAGUAGUUGGUAGAUAGGUUCCGUCCGCAAAAGGUGUGAGCAUAUAGAUGGUACUGCAUGUCUGCAUUCGGGUGAGAUCAUUAGGGAACAAGAGCAGACAAAGAAGGGAUCUGGGGACCGAGCCUUUGGGUAUUUUUGUGUUCAUUGUUCAAAGACAGGAGAAGGACCAGCAACAGAGACUGAGAAAGAUUGGUAAGUGAGAAGGGCAACCAGUGGAAGCCAAGAAAGGAAGUGUUUCAGUAGGAGGAAGCGAUCACGUGUGACCUUGCUGCUUAGACAAAGUACUAAUAUGAGGACUGAGAAUUGAGCACUGGUCUAGCAAUUUAGAGGUGACCUUGACAGUUUGGGGAAGCGGUUGGUAGCAAAAGUUUGGUUGAAAUGGGUUCAAGAGAAAAGAAAGAGUUCCCUGGUGGCUCGGUGGGUUAAGGAUACAGUGUCCUUAACCUCAGUGGCUAAGGUUUGAUCCUUGGCCUGGGGCCUUCUGCAUGCUGCAUGCAUACCCCACUCUCCAAAAAAGAGAGAAGAGAAAGUAAAGGAAUUAUAGACAGCAAAUAUAGAAAAAUUGAUAUUAUGGGGGCAAUGGGGAUGAUUUUGAGAGCAGUGUCCUGGAAUAGCAAGUUCAUAUCCAAAAAUGAAGAGAGGAGUUGGACUAUAAAUUCAUUCUGGAUUGAUUUAUGUAGCCAACUAGUCAAGCACUGUGGUGGAGUUCUUUAGCAAAAUAAUGGUAGAUGGAUAACCUUCACUUUUCCAAAAUUCACUUGAGCAGGGCAGGUAAUUAGUAGCAUAGCUUUCUUGGGUAGAGCUAAGUGGAAAAUCGUCUUUUGCAACUUAUUAAUAUAUUUGUUUCCAAAAUAAAAUUAUUAGCACUUUAUGAUAAAAAUGGAGAAUUCUUUCCCAGAGAUAGAAAAAAUAAUUCUUCCCUUUCUCAAAAAAAAAAAAAAA